CCAGAUUACUACAGCGUCGUGGGACACACAGAUUCACUCCAUAACGCGUGGGUGAGUGUUUAUCACGGGGCCUGACGCUCGAGAAUGCUAUACGCUGCAGAGACUGAACACCGGGUCGGCUCUAAAAGAAAACCUCUCCUCAAAUACGUGUCGCUGAACUGGACCAUAAAAUAACGGGGACUCUUGUUGCCAUCGGCAAAGGUCAUAUAGACCACGUUUCAUCUUUGAAGGGAUCAUCAUGAGGGUGACGUUUACAACCAGCUGGAUUUUUCAAGGCUGGAUCAAGAACAUUAUAGUGAUUCUCUGCAUACAAGUUGUCUACUCCAAACCCUGUAAGCCAAACCAGGUCCUGAGAGACAGGAAGUGCUGCAGCAAAUGUGAACCAGGUAUGCAGCCUGAUGGGUGUCAUCACUACAUAACCUAUAUCUAUUUAUUUACAACGGGGGGGGGACUAUGUCAACCCCACACCUGUGCCAACAAACAAUCAUAAUACAGACAGUACCCACAGUAACCCAAGUAACCUGCAUCCUGGGCACCUGCUUGGCCGAUUUAGGCCCAAAUACCGGCACCGUUCUAGGCCCAAGCUAGGCCUCACACUAUAUACAGACACUAGGCACGAAACUAGGUACAACCCAAGGCCCCAAAACAAAACACAUAAACUAGGCACACAGACAAGGCAAAAAAGACACAACACAAAAACAGUGGAACAAAACAAAGCUAACAGUGUCCACACAUCAAGACACGUACUGCCUUUCACCUCACACAGGUAAGCAGGGAAAGCAGUACACCUGUUUCUCCCAAAGUUCUUUCGCCAUGCUGUCCUCUCUCGAAAAGUCUCUCCCCAUGGUUGACUGAGGCACCCUUUACAUAGGGCAGCCACUUGGGCUAAAUUGGACCCCACCAUUGACGUGGGGGAGCACGGAACCAACCAUUACGGGGGGGAGUCAAAGUGUCUUAACCUACUAGUUAUUCACCUGAUGGGUGUCAUCACUACAUAACCUACAAGUGCUAUAACUACAUAACCGACUAGUUAAAACAAGCUGAUUCCCGCCAACAUUAGCGAGCAGUAUGAAUGAGCAAAUGAUGCUUUGUAUUGGGCUUGGCUUGACACUUAAGGUGCCAAAGGGUAUAACCAUCACCAUCACCAUCACCUGUGGGAUGAGAAUGUUAACGCGACCUAGAAAUGCACGUCAGAUCUCCCAACUGGAUUUGCUGGAGGGGAAUGAUUUUGUCCAAUGGGUUAUCGUGUGACGAUAUAAAACAUAUUUCCAGGCGUCCCUUGAAAAAAAAAGGGAAGGAUGUCUGUCAGUGGGAUGGGACUAUGUGCACACACUCACGU
rnacentral:lncRNA from 1 species